UAAGGGUCAAGUCUCUCAAGGCGCCUCUUCACUUAUUUCUAUUUUAAGGAUAAUAAUUUCCACAUACAUAUAGUUGUUAUGUAUGCAUUUAGAGGAGAGAUGACAGAGGAGAGAUGUAGUUUAGGAAGGCUUUAUUAAUAAUAAUUGUGGUUGCAUUAUUACAUUGCAUUUUGCAUACUAUGUAUGUACCUAACACUACGUAUAUACCUAAUACUACCCUCUUGCAGGAGACUUUUUCUCCUGAAAAAGAGUAGUGACGCUAACUUAACAAGGAGUGAUUACGACGAAUUUACUAAACUGAACAAAGCAUACGAGUGACGAGUACGAUCACUCGGGACAAAGGAAAGGCGGAAUAACGUCCGCCAUUAUUCUACACAACUACACAACGAGGCAAAGGCGAGGAAAAAUUCACUAAAUUUUUAAAUUUUGAAGAAUUAACUAACAAAAUUGUGUUCUAAAAUACAAUCAAAUUGAUAAAAUAAAGUGCUACAUAUCUGCCUCAUCAAAAAUUAUGUCAGGAAGCGGAUUCACAGCAAAGAUUCCGGGUUUGAUAACAUCUAAGGGUACCCCUUGGGGGGAGAGCCCUUAAGGCUGGGGGGAAGGGGGGAUUUAAGGGCCCUCCUCAGAGGUCAAAGGUCACCGGGGGUGUGGCUGUGGGUGGGGUGGGUGGUCUCGGGAACUUGGAAAAAUUACUGGAAACUUGGAAAUUGCUGGGUGACGUCAUCCACCGACUGCCUCACUCCCGGAAUGGAAUAAUCGUUGCGGGGCGCUUGUAUACGGGACGGAACCAAGGAUAGGAGACAUUAAACAGCGAAAGGAUUCGUUGCUGGACAGGAGGAAAUGUACUUGAAAAUCAUGCCCAAGUAGAAGAGGACAUGGUGAUGAGGGAACAACGAAAAACGGGGAGGAUGCUCGACGCGGAAUGAUCUGGGUCAGGGGCCGAGGGGAGGUGCGAUAGCGGAAGUGGAUCACUAUUGGUAUAUCCAAAGUCAUCAGUCACAACACCGCACUGAGAACUGUCUGUGGGGCUGACGAUCUGGUGUUCACGGUCAGAGUCAGGGUCAAUAGGGUCACGUAAAUGGCUAAAACGUCGGCCAGAAACAAAUACACUUUCGGGAGCUUCGAGCAGGUCUGACGGGGGAGGUGAGGGGUCAGUGCGUCGACUGAAAAAGUUCCAAAGGGGCAUCGUCGUGGAAAAAUUGCAUUAUGUUUGUCAGGAAAGGAUGUGUACUCAAUUUUGAAUAAAUUGUAUAAUUUGCACUUUAA